UACGGAGGAUGCAAGCGUUAUCCGGAAUGAUUGGGCGUAAAGGGUCCGUAGGUGGCAAUGUGUGUCUGCUGUCAAAGAAUGAGGCUUAACCUCAUCAAGGCAGUGGAAACUACAUAGCUAGAGUACGGUCGGGGUAGAAGGAAUUCCUGGUGUAGCGGUGAAAUGCGUAGAGAUCAGGAAGAACACCGGUGGCGAAAGCGUUCUGCUAGACCUGUACUGACACUGAGGGACGAAAGCUAGGGGAGCGAAUGGG
rnacentral:rRNA from 1 species